GAUGAACGCUAGCUACAGGCUUAACACAUGCAAGUCGAGGGGUAACGAGAGGAAAGCUUGCUUUCCUUGUCGACGACCGGCGCACGGGUGAGUAACGCGUAUCCAACCUGCCCCCAACUAGGGAAUAACCUUGCGAAAGUAAGACUAAUACCCUAUAAUUUCCUCAGAUGUCAUCUGACGAGGAAUAAAGAUUUAUCGGUUGUGGAUGGGGAUGCGUCUGAUUAGCUUGUUGGCGGGGUAACGGCCCACCAAGGCAACGAUCAGUAGGGGUUCUGAGAGGAAGGUCCCCCACAUUGGAACUGAGACACGGUCCAAACUCCUACGGGAGGCAGCAGUGAGGAAUAUUGGUCAAUGGGCGGAAGCCUGAACCAGCCAAGUAGCGUGCAGGAUGACGGCCCUAUGGGUUGUAAACUGCUUUUAUACAGGAAUAAAGUUAGCCACGUGUGGUUAUUUGUAGGUACCUCAUGAAUAAGGACCUGCAAAACUCGUGCCAGCAGCCGCCGUAA
rnacentral:rRNA from 1 species